UACGUAGGCAGCGAGCGUUGUUCGGAGUUACUGGGCGUAAAGGGUGUGUAGGCGGUUGUUUAAGUUUGGUGUGAAAUCUCCCGGCUUAACUGGGAGGGUGUGGCGGAGACUGGAGUGCUAGAGUGUGGGAGAGGUAAGCGGAAUUCCUGGUGUAGCGGUGAAAUGCGUAGAUAUCAGGAGGAACACCUGUGGUGUAGACAGCUUACUGGACCACGACUGACGCUGAGACACGAAAGCGUGGGUAGCAAACAGG
rnacentral:rRNA from 1 species